GGGCCCGCACAAGCGGUGGAUCAUGUGGUUUAAUUCGAUGAUACGCGAGGAACCUUACCAGGGCUUAAAUGUAGUCUGACAGGGGUGGAAACACCCCCUCCUUCGGGCAGAUUACAAGGUGCUGCAUGGUUGUCGUCAGCUCGUGCCGUGAGGUGUCAGGUUAAGUCCUAUAACGAGCGCAACCCCUGCCGUUAGUUGCCAGCAUGUAAUGAUGGGAACUCUAACGGGACUGCCGGUGCAAACCGCGAGGAAGGUGGGGAUGACGUCAAAUCAUCACGGCCCUUACGUCCUGGGCUACACACGUGCUACAAUGGCCGGUACAGAGGGCAGCCACACCGCAAGGUGGAGCGAAUCCUUAAAACCGGUCUCAGUUCGGAUUGAAGUCUGCAACUCGACUUCAUGAAGCUGGAAUC
rnacentral:rRNA from 1 species